UACGGAGGGUGCGAGCGUUGUCCGGAAUCAUUGGGCGUAAAGGGCGCGUAGGCGGCCUGCUAAGUCGAACGUGAAAUCCCUGGGCUCAACCCAGGAACUGCGUCCGAUACUGGUUGGCUUGAAUCCGGGAGAGGGACGUGGAAUUCCAGGUGUAGCGGUGAAAUGCGUAGAUAUCUGGAGGAACACCGGUGGCGAAGGCGACGUCCUGGACCGGCAUUGACGCUGAGGCGCGAAAGCCAGGGGAGCAAACGGG
rnacentral:rRNA from 1 species